rnacentral:lncRNA from 1 species
AUGUAUCCACAUAUGUUACUUAUAUAUGGAUACAUAUAUACACUAAGAGGAGAGCUCAUAGUGAUUUGAAAAGUAUAGGGGAAUAAAGGGAAAGAAAAACAGGAGACAGCUUGUCUAAUCUAGUCUUGAGUAUUUACAGAAAUUAAAAAAUUUUUAAAUUUAAAUAUAUAUAUAUAUAUAUAUAUCAGAUCAAGUAGUUAGUUUUGAUUGGGCUUAUUACAAUGUGUGCUUAUUUAAAGCACACCUUCUUUAUUGCUGUAAUUAGCCCAAGAGAACAGAGAUUUUUCAGGAACACUAGAGAGGCUGAUACAAUGUCAUUUACAUAUUCAUAUAUAUUUUUCAAUGGAUAAGCCUAGGGCUGCUCCAUACCCUCUGAGAGUAAAGUAUCACAAAUAUGGCACCUGCAUAGUGGGGCUCUUCUCAAGGCAGGAUGCCAUCUUUUUAGAUUCAAAACUUAAAUUAGAUCUCCAUGAAAAUCUUGUUGCAGGCAAAGGCAUUUUAGAACAGUUAAAUAGCUAAUAUUUUUGUACUUCAGUAUCACUGUUUUUCUGCCUCUCCCCAAAGAUGAGCCGCUGCCUUAGUUGUUUGAGCUUACCGCCUGUCUUAUAGUGUAGAAAUAUAUAACCAGAGACUCAGCUCUAUUAACUAGCAUGUUGGGUGUUUUUCAAGCAGUGACUGAGAGUGCGUAUGUGUGCGUGCAUGUGCAUAUGGUUCGAAUGCAGUGUCAGGCUUGUUUUCAAACACACUGCCCAAAGUUCUUUGCUUCUGUUUCUGAGAAGCAGGGGUCUAGGAGGGCAGAAUAAUUUCACAGCUCUGAACAGAGGCAGUAUGUUAGUUGUUUUUGGUUGUUUAUGUUCACUCUGUAGUCUCAACCUUUUUUUUCCCAAUUUAUUAUGUUUCUUCAUUCAUUUUAAAAUUUAGGUGGAUUGGCUCUGUGACUAAUAAGCAGAGCUUUUAGUUUUGCACCGGUAUAUUUCAUUUUUGGAAUUGCACAGAUUUCUAUAAACAUCCAGUCAGUUCGCAAAUAAUAUAAAAGGAGUAGUUAGUGGAAAUGUUUCUCUUUAUGCCUUAAGCCUUUAAAGUAACAGGACUUUUGGGAAAGCCAUGAAGGUUUUUGUUUGUUUGUUUUAAUUUUUAAAAGCCAAGUAAGCACUGGGCCUAUGUAUAAAUACUAAUUUUCUGUUUUGAUUUUUUUAAAAUUCCAGUUAGAAUAAUUGGAAUUUUUAGAUCUAAAGAAACAGAAGAAUUGACCAAACUGAAGUAUGGGUGAAUUAAGCAUUUCCCAUUUGACUUAUAUAUUAUAGUUAAUAAUUCCAAGUUCCUUGCCUUAGAGAUGAGGCACGAGAUUCCCUCCCACACACACCUUUAGAGUAUGGGGAGGAGGUUUACACAUAUCUGGGACCUUUAGCAGACAUAGACAUAUGUAUAUACAUACACAUACACAUGCAUGUUCACACUGUGAAUGGUCUGAAUUAUGCAAACCCAACUUCAUAAGGCUGAGAGAUUCACAGUGUUCAAAAGACAUGGUGAACAAGGGUCCAAGAACUUAAGCAGAGUAGUAUUUACCCAGGGUUUAGUAGUAAUUUCAGCUCUUAUGUUUUGACUUGCACUUUUUACUGAUCAAUAACUAUGCAUGUGCACAAAGACAGAUCCUUUCAUAUGGUAUCACUAAGUUAGAGCUUUGGGGUAAUGCAUUCAUGAAGCUCUCCAGUAACUCAUAGCAGCCAGGAGAAGCUCUGGAAGACUUUUUUCCUGAGAAGGAAGUGCUGUUGGGGCAAAGAGUGAACAUGCAGGGAAGGGAGAGAAGAAUUGGCCCUAGAAAAUAUAAGAUUAGUUUAUCCAUACCUUCUUUUACCUUAGAGCUGUGAAAGUAAUGAUCAAAUUGAAGAGUAGUCGGGCAUUUAUAGGGGAAAAAAAUGCACUUUUUUGUGGGGGGGAGGUCAAUGAUCAAGAUGAGAAUGGAGGUUGGGAAAGGACAUUGAUGAAGGUACAUUUUUCCUUUGCAGGGUAAACUGUAAAUUCUGAAUAUUCACUAUAAAUAAAUACCCGGUCACUAUUCCUGGAAAUGUUACUUUGUGGAGAGAAUUUUGAAGUAUGACUUUUCCUUUUUAAUUUUCCCACCAGCUUCUGAGGGUUCAUGGGCAGUAUAUUCCUUCCUGAGGAGUAAGACUUUGAGGUAAUUUUCAGUUUAAGACUGACAUUACCUAACUUAAGAUGUUCUCUCUAUCCCUGUUACGCCCCUGGCCAGAUUCUUACCAAUGGAGGUCGCUGCCCCUCGUGAUUUUAUCUGAUUCUGAGCUCUUUCACUAAGCAACACAUUUGAGUUUCCAAAGCUGAUUCCUAUGCCUUGGGAAUUUAACUGGACACCAGCUGGCAAGAGUGAGAGGCACUCCUUGAAGGUCAUUCCCCAGUGUGGCUGACCAGGGUCAGCGGAAUCCAGUCAAUCAUGACAUUGAUCUCAAAGUCACGUUUAAUGCAUAUGAAAUAACAUAGCAUAUUAAACUCCUGACACUGGGGACAGAACUCUUCGUGCCUUUAUGCAUCCUAGAAAUGAAAUUAAAAAAAAAAAAAAUUUGUAUUUUAUUUCUGUGGGUAGGGCCAGAAAGGCCUUUAACACACUCUUGCUCAUCAGUGUUGCUCAGUCCAAAAAGAGGUUCCAAAUGAGGAUGGCACCUUCCAUAUCCAACAAGCAUCUUUUUUCUGCCUCGUGUUUUAGAAACCUUUUUCUAAAACUGUAAUUGAGAGUUCCAGCAAUGAUACAAGCUGAGAACCUCUAUCAACAGCAUAAAACUUAAUGCUGUGGUUUAGGCAGAAUGAUCUUUGAAUAAAAUAAUAACUUUUCCAUGUUGUUAAUUGGGCUAUACUUGUUGUGACUCAAAAGUAGCUGGCAGAACAAUGCAACAUGUUUUUCCAGGGAACUGGUGGGAAAAGGCAAAGUUUUAGAAAUAAUUUUUUUCCUCAAGCUGAGGUGGCUAAUCCCCCUCCAUCUUCAAAAUUUUCUCCACCCAAUAUUUCAAUUUCAUCUCAGCCCCCAGUGCCAUAUGUCCCCAGCAAAUGGUGAGUGUAAUUAGCAGCAAAGUAGCGAUCUACUCCAGAAGCAUUCUCAAACUCAACUAAGUUAGGGAUACCACACCAUGUCCUGCCUGCCAACACCACCCACUUGGUACAGGAAAGGUCAUUUCCUCGUAAAUUAAGGCAUUCAUAUGAUGGUCCUAUCUUGACUCAAACAAAGAUUAGUGCAGAUAUGGUGAAAGUGUUUAAAGAAUAUUUUGAAUAUUAAGUUUACAUUUUACAAUUGCUUUAUUUUUCAUUAAGAUUGCUGUAUAUAAAUAUUGCCCUCGCUCAUUGUUGUUAAAGUAAACAAAAGUAUGUAGACAGUGAGUUACCUGACAUGUAUAGAAUCUGUGAUAUAUGGAGUACAUUUCUCUAUUGUGUAAAUGUUUAUGAUUAGAACUGUUCCUCUGUGUUUUUAUAGGUUGCAGAUAAUUUGUCGCUUUACGACGACAGAGUUUAUUGCAUUCAAAUGAUUUUUAUGUAAUAGAAAUCAUGCAAACUAGUGAAGGAUU